GCAGUCGAACGAUGAACCUCCUUCGGGAGGGGAUUAGUGGCGAACGGGUGAGUAACACGUGGGCAAUCUGCCCUGCACUCUGGGACAAGCCCUGGAAACGGGGUCUAAUACCGGAUACUGACCCGCUUGGGCAUCCAAGCGGUUCGAAAGCUCCGGCGGUGCAGGAUGAGCCCGCGGCCUAUCAGCUUGUUGGUGAGGUAAUGGCUCACCAAGGCGACGACGGGUAGCCGGCCUGAGAGGGCGACCGGCCACACUGGGACUGAGACACGGCCCAGACUCCUACGGGAGGCAGCAGUGGGGAAUAUUGCACAAUGGGCGAAAGCCUGAUGCAGCGACGCCGCGUGAGGGAUGACGGCCUUCGGGUUGUAAACCUCUUUCAGCAGGGAAGAAGCGAAAGUGACGGUACCUGCAGAAGAAGCGCCGGCUAACUACGUGCCAGCAGCCGCGGUAAUACGUAGGGCGCGAGCGUUGUCCGGAAUUAUUGGGCGUAAAGAGCUCGUAGGCGGCUUGUCACGUCGGUUGUGAAAGCCCGGGGCUUAACCCCGGGUCUGCAGUCGAUACGGGCAGGCUAGAGUUCGGUAGGGGAGAUCGGAAUUCCUGGUGUAGCGGUGAAAUGCGCAGAUAUCAGGAGGAACACCGGUGGCGAAGGCGGAUCUCUGGGCCGAUACUGACGCUGAGGAGCGAAAGCGUGGGGAGCGAACAGGAUUAGAUACCCUGGUAGUCCACGCCGUAAACGGUGGGCACUAGGUGUGGGCGACAUUCCACGUCGUCCGUGCCGCAGCUAACGCAUUAAGUGC
rnacentral:rRNA from 1 species